rnacentral:rRNA from 1 species
AUUGAACGCUGGCGGCAGGCCUAACACAUGCAAGUCGAGCGGCAGCGCGGGGUCAACCCUGGCGGCGAGCGGCGGACGGGUGAGUAAUUCAUCGGAAUGUGCCUUUUUGUGGGGGAUAACGUAGGGAAACUUACGCUAAUACCGCAUACGUCCUACGGGUGAAAGUGGGGGACCGCAAGGCCUCACGCCGCUAGAUGAGCCGAUAACCGAUUAGCUAGUUGGUGGGGUAAAGGCCCACCAAGGCGACGAUCGGUAGCUGGUCUGAGAGGAUGACCAGCCACACUGGAACUGAGACACGGCCCAGACUCCUACGGGAGGCAGCAGUGGGGAAUAUUGGACAAUGGGCGCAAGCCUGAUCCAGCAAUGCCGCGUGAGUGAAGAAGGCCUUCGGGUUGUAAAGCACUUUUGUCAGGGAAGAAACGCUAGGAGCUAAUAUCCUCGGGUAAUGACGGUACCGGAAGAAUAAGCACCGGCUAACUUCGUG